rnacentral:rRNA from 1 species
AUACAGAGGGUGCAAGCGUUAAGCGGAAUUACUGGGCGUAAAGCGCGCGUAGGUGGUUAGUUAAGUUGGAUGUGAAAGCCCUGGGCUCAACCUGGGAAUGGCAUUCAAAACUGGCUGACUAGAGUAUGGUAGAGGGAAGGGGAAUUCCAGGUGUAGCGGUGAAAUGCGUAGAUAUCUGGAGGAACAUCAGUGGCGAAGGCGCCUUCCUGGACUAAUACUGACACUGAGGUGCGAAAGCGUGGGUAGCAAACAGGAUUAGAAACCCUAGUAGUCC